CCACUGGAGGGGUAUGAGGGAGACUUUGGGAAGGAGGGAGGGCUGGGGAAAAGUGACUGUGAGAUUUGUUUGGUUUCUCAUGAUCCUGCCCUGAUGCUGGGCGUAGUCAAUUCAAUCGAUAUCCAAAAACUGAGGCAGUUUUGCCCAUGACGCUGAAGGGGGAGGGAUCUCUCCCUGUCUUUAUCUCAACCCAGGGACCCUUGGUUCUAUUUUCUCUGCCCUGUUCAUAUGCACAGGGACAGAGCUGCUCUGGUGGUACCUGGUAUCCAACCAGGGUCAACCCACUGCACACCUCCUGGCCUGGUGAGUCCACAACCUCUCUGGGCAACCUGGCCCAGUGCCCAGCCACACUUCAAGGCAAGAAUUUGGCUCUGGGAUCAGCCUUCCUCCCUGCAAGACCCACAGACUGGUAGAGGUUGAUGAGCUGAUCAGCUCUGCUUUCUCCUCAGCCAGCCACAGGGAAAAGCUGGUGCUGGCCUUGCAGAAGUAGGGCUACAUUCCCAAACUCUUAAAGCUUUUCCAAAUCUGUGAGGGGUUACAGCUCAGACAGGCCUUGCAGCAUUUGUCAGCCAUUAUGCAAGAAAUUCUGUAGCUCGACCAAGCAGCUCUGCUGGAGGUGAUGCUGUCCCAGGAGUGUAUCAUGGAUGUGGUCGGAUGCCUUGAGUAUGGCCCCUCUUUGGCACAGCCCAAAUGGCACCAGCAGCUCCUGCAGCGAACAACCAAGCUGAAGUAGCUUCUUCCCAUGCGAGACCCUGAGCUCCAGCAAAAAUUCCACCAGAUGUACUGGGCACAGCAUAUUAAGGCUGUUAUCUUGCCCAAGGCAGCUGGGCUGGGAGAGGCUUCUCUGCCCAGCCUCACCUCCUUCAUCAGUUGCAAGAAAGAGGAGAUCUUCCAUGUCUUGGAGAUAAGUGCCUUCUGACCUGCUCUCAAUGGCUCAGGACCUGCAGCUGGAGUUGCCAAGGGAUCACUGUUCCUCAGACAUGCUUGCACAAGCACAGGAUGGGAAUGAUCCCCCUUCUUCCUUCUCCCUUGGAUUCUGUAGUUUAGAAAGGGAAGAGCUCGGGGAAGGACCUAGAGAUUCCUGAAUGGGCUGUCAAGAGUCUCAAGUUCUUCUCUUUGAUGGCCAAGCAGCAGACUGCUUUGGAGCUGGUUUGUGGGGGGAGCUGGGGAACAAGCAGCUUUUGGGAUUCCCUCUCAGGGCCAGGUGCAAUGUCUGUGGAACUCAUUCUGAACCUGAGAUGCCAAAGAGCAGGCGUGGGAGAAUACUGCCAGCGCUGCUUCCCAUGGGAAGGAGUGAAGAGAAAUGCAGAGACAGAGAGGAGAGAAAGUGUCUAAAGCCUUGAGAGACGAUGAUGAUGGUGAUUGUGUUCAGCCUGGUUUUCUUGGCCCUCUGGAGGCUUAACCAAUGGAGGAACUGAAAUUCGUGGCCAGAAGGGAGCUCUUGUCCUAGAGGUCCUGAAGUGUUUCUUGGGGGGAGAGGCUGUGACUGUACCAAGCCAAGGCUGGGGCAUAAAUGCAGAGCAGAGCAUCUGCAAGGGGGGAGCUGGUUUGAGUGUGAGGAAAGGCAACCAGGCUAUGGCGGCAGCCAGCUGGAAACCUGUUCAUCUGCUCCACCUUGUCUGGGGGGCCUGAAAAGAUGCUUUGCAGGGCUGCAUCUGCACAAGAGGGAAAGGGAUCCCUGUGGGAUGUUCUCAGGGCAGCGGGAACAGGGCAGGUGCCACAUGGGACAAACUGUGUCUCAGCUGGCUCUUGGGAGCUGCACUUUUUGGGAGCCUCCCCUGAGCUCAGCUUCCUCUUCUGCCUCUGCUUCUGCUGCACACAGGCACUGCUGAAACAUGCCCUGGGAAGGAAGGAUCCUGCAGGAUCUGUGUACUCUGGCAUUGGCCUUUAUUGAGCUACAGUGAAUGGAGCUGGCCUUGAGAAAGACCAGAAAUUCUGGUUAGAAGUUCUGGCCCAGUUAGCAGAUGGAGCUACAGGUGCCCACCAGCGAUGGGAACUGGUGAGUCAGAGCUCACGGGCUUGAAAGGAGAGAGAGGAAGCAGAGAAAGGGAAACUGCUCUGAGGCCUUCUGAAGUCCUUGAAACCUUUCUGGAACCCAGGAAUCCUUGCCAGUACAGCUCAAUCUUCAUUUCAGUCCUCACUUAAAGAAAUAUUUCUGGCAAUGUAAGCUCUGAUGUCUUUGUUGUAAAUCAGGGUUUCCUUGUGUAGAAAGGACCAGCACAGAGCUGACACGCUCGACUUCAAGCUCUGCUUUCUUCCCAGAAUGUUUCAGCAUCCCAGAGAACUUUAUUUCUGUAUCACUGUCUUU